AGCAUUCGUCAGUAAUAUUUUUUAUGUUAGAAUAAAGGGGUCGUUUUUUCGACUAUGGUGAUAAACGGAUCACGGAAUAGGCUAGAUGGACCAGGGGGCGGUACCCUGCGCCUCCACCAUGGGAUCUUUAUGGGGGCGAAAUAGGUUCGACAUUGUGCAAUAAAGGCGGUUUUUUCACUCGGCAUAGUAUCCACCGUUAUCGGGCUAAUUUGAAUAAUUGCCAAGAAUUUGAAUGGCAGAAGAAGGCGCAGGAAGGCCAGAAAUGGAAAUGGCCGUCGUGAAGUUGCAAAGGCCGCUUAAUAUCCCGUAUGGGACUUAAGCCCUGAGUAACUUGCCGUCUUUGAUUAGGCGGUAGUCUUGCGGUCCCGGGGGAAACCGAGCAACAGAAUUCCCUCGUA
rnacentral:tmRNA from 1 species